UUUGUUUGUUAAUGAAUAUUUUUUAACUUUAAACGAAUCAACAACAAGAAUAAUAGCCUCCCGUAACUCCGAAAGUAACCACUGCGAACGCUUCAGUCGAUUUCAUUUCCCCUACCAUGGCUUCACUC
rnacentral:lncRNA from 1 species